CCUACAGGAGGCUGCAGUGAGGAAUAUUGGUCAAUGGGCGCGAGCCUGAACCAGCCAAGUAGCGUGAAGGAUGACUGCCCUACGGGUUGUAAACUUCUUUGAUAAAGGAAUAAAGUGAGGCACGUGUGCCUUUUUGUAUGUACGUUAUGAAUAAGGAGCGGCUAACUCCGUGCCAGCAUCCGCGGUAAUACGGAGGAUCCGAGCGUUAUCCGGAUUUAGUGGGUUUAACGGGAGCGUAGAUGGGUUGUUAAGUCAGUUGUGAAAGUUUGCGGCUCAACCGUAAAAUUGCCAUUGAUACUGGCAGCCUUGCGUACAGUUGCGGUAGGCGGCAUUCGUUGUGUAGCGG
rnacentral:rRNA from 1 species